AUGAGUAACGCUCCAUAUAUCUGUGUUUCUGUCUUUGUUCUGUGUCUUGCAGUCAGUAUUCUUGGUAAAAGUGUUCUCCAGACUCCUUCUGAUCUCCUGAAGAAAGAAGAUGAAUUUGUUGAGAUCAAAUGCUCUCACAGUAUACCGAACUACUAUGUCAUACAGUGGUACAAACAAAGCCAGAGCAUCAAGGUCCUUCAACUCAUGGGGCACAUUAAUGUUGAACAAGAAACCACAGAGCCUGAGUUUAAAGCCAAGAUCAAACUGGAUGGAGAUGGAAGAAACAAUGGCACUCUGACUAUCAACACCCUCAUGCUGAAUGACAGUGCAGUGUAUUUCUGUGCAGCAUAUGACACAGUGCUCAGAAUCACCUCUGUCUAG